rnacentral:lncRNA from 1 species
CUCUCAUAUGACGAUGGUUUGUGUGCUUUAACAGUUUGCUAAACGUCUUUGUUUUAACUUUCAUCUGUGCUAAGUAACUUUAGCUCGUAAGCUAACCUGUUCAGAUACAACAUACCGUAUGUAUUUUCACUGUCUCAAACUCAAUUGCGUUGCUGUCACAGCACCAUUAGGUCUCGGUUGUUACCUUACGUUUAUGGAUUAUAGUUUAAUGUUCUUAUCUGGUACUGGCCUCGACUCAGUACAUGCUAUCAUGACAGACAGACAUCUCAACACUAGUGUCUAAUCAGAACUGAAAAACAGUCAGUCUAAUAAUAAUUUUAAAAGGAGUACCAAUUUGCCAUCACUUGAAGUUGAAGUAGACUUCAUUUUUGUCUUCGCACUUCCACCCGGGACGUGUUUUUUUUCCCCCGGACGUUGCAAAAUCACAUCGCACUUGAUUUGUAUAGUCAGGCGCGUCAAAAUUCGCCUCUGAAUAUUUCGGAAUUUCUUGUCGUAUAUUUGCACUGUUCCCAGUGUGUAAGGACUGAAGUCAGAAUUCUGCCUUUAAUCUAUGAAUUCUGACUUUUAUGUCAGAAUAAUAAUAAAAAAAUAUCUAUAUUGGCCUUUUCUCUUUUUUUUCUAGUGGCCCUAAUCCUCUUGCGUAUAAACUCUCUCUUACAGUCUAAGUUGAAGUUCUCUGCUCCCCUGCACAGACCCUCAAAGUGUAAUCAGUGUUAAAUUGAGUGUUAUGUGAGAAUAUGUUCUAUAUAUAAUAUGGUGAGAGUUAUUUGGAGAUUUGUCCCUCAGUGCUCAAGCAGUCCUGCUCCCUAAAAAGUGUGCUUUAACAUGACUCAUGCUCCAAACAUCUGGUCUAUUUUCUAAGAAGUGCUUAGUGAACUCUAUUAUAUCCAGUGUCACCGCUCCCCCCGACUGUUUAAUUAGACCAGCAGCUGUAAGAGUGAUCCCCCCAUGGACUGACAGCCAACACCCUGUGGGAAUAUGCUGAUCGCCGUCUGGUCAGGCCCAUUCACAAGCAAUUUCUCUUUAGCUCAUCACCUCAGGCUCGCUGUAAGAGAGUGGCUUUAUAUGCGCCACAAUCCCACACACAGUAAAAGCGAACAGGAAAUGGGAAAUGACAGGAUUAAUCCUUGAUUCCUGCAUUAUGUUAAUUGGAGUAAUUGUCCUCCAUCCCCUUGAGUUUUCUUCUCCUUCCUGGAAGUUCAAUCUUUAGCGUUAUUCCGUUUUAAGACCAAUGCAGAGCCGGGAGUGAAUCAUCCUCCUGGGUCUGCUCUUUUAAAAAGGACAUUAGUUAUGGCUUCUUUACAUCCAGUGUAAGUGCAGAUGGGUCUUGGUGAUUCACUUCCUCCUUACAAAAUCCUGCCUCUGUUAAACAAUUGGAGCCAGAGAAUAGCACUUAAAUUUCUGCAAGACAAACACACCUUCAGCAGCGACGUUAUUACCUUUUUGGUGGUGUAAAUCGAACGUAGCUUAGGCUGAGUGAUGGACCGCGGCAAGACAAAUCUCCAUCCUCGGAAAAGUGCUGACUUUAAGGCAAAAAAUGGUAAUAGAUUCUCAAAGUGAGGGGCCAUUACUGGGGCAGCAUGCAAAUGAUGGCUGAAGAAAUAAUCUACAAGGUGUUAUUGAACCCUGGGUUUAAGGCGGAAGGGAAGGCCUCUGUGCAUUCCCCCGUCGAAGCAGCGUAAUGUGCGGCUUGUAAUUAGAUAUUGAUUCACUUUGUGGACGAGUAUUUCAAACCAGUGUCCUCCUCCGAGGGAGAAGAGGAUGCAUAAAAGUCUGAAUGCAUCUUGUUAGGACUAAAAUGUAAUAUCUUCAUACAGCUGUGAGAUUGCCACGGUGGAGUGAAUAAUUACUUCUCUCUAAUGGAAAGAAAGGGUAACUGGUGAUUUGGUGGGAGUAAAGUAAUAGUUUCAGUGUCCUUGGGAGAUUCUUUUACACGCUUAUGCCUCAGGUUCUUAGCAUGCUUUUACUGCAGGAAUAAUGCCUCACCACUUUACAGACUGCACGCUUAUUCACCUCAGACUCAAAAUUCAUAAUCGAUAUCCGAGAGAAGAGGAGAGUGGAUGGAUUGUGUUUGAAAGAUGCCGUGAGAAAUGAUGACUGCGUGUCUGAGAGAUGUUGAUCUGAUUAUGUUGAUUGCGUCAUGGACACAAGAAAGGUUCUUUAAAGGAAGGAUGCUCCAGGUUCAAGCGUAGAUAGUCACCUUAGCUUGGUAGUUGUAAAGGGCCCUAGAUUUAUGAAAGUCUGCACAUGGGCUAAAUAUUUUAGGAUAAAUUUUCAGACAAAUACUGCUUGGAUUGGUAUGAAAAUGAUGCAGCUGUUAUUUUCACCCAGAAGAUGAAUCUCAAAUAUUCUGGUGAUGAUUGAUUUUUUAUCUAUAGGCCCAGGCUUGUGAUACAUUCAUUUUAAGGGGGUUAUAUUUGGACCAUAACAGAAUGGGACUACAAGUGUUGAGGAUUUUUGGAGCACCAUUCCUCUUAUCAUCUUAUCCGCUGAUAUUUCAUGGCAACACCUUUAAGGGCGCAUUUACAUCAGGACUGUUUGGUUCAUUUUAAAAGGACCGUGGUCUCCUAACUCUUUCAGUCUAGGUGGUAUGAACACGCAAGCAAACUGUGGUCCAGAUCAAAUAAACAAACCGUGGUCCUCUUGAAAAUGCUGAACUCAGUUCUCUUCCAAACGAACCAUGGUCCGGUCCACGGUGGGUGUGAACGCAGUCUUAAGGUCCUUACACACAGGGAACGACGCAAAUAUACGACGUGAAAUUACGAAAUAUUCAGAGGCGAAUUUUGACGCGUCUGACUAUACACAUCAAGCGCAAUGUGAUUUUGCGACUCUCUGGGGGGAAAAAAAGACACGUCCCGGGUGGAAGCGAGAAGACUGACACAACAGCAGACUGACUGUUUUUCAGUUCUGAUUAGACACUAAUGUUGAGAUGUCUGUCUGUCAUGAUAGCAUGUACUGAGUUGGGGCCAGUACCAGAUAAGUACAUUAAACUAUAAUCCAUAAACAUAAGGUAACAACCGAGACCUAAUGGUGCUGUGACAGCAACGCCAUUGAGUUUGAGACAGUGAAAAUACAUAUGGUAUGUUGUAUCUGAACAGGUUAGCGUAUGAGCUAAAGUUACUUAGCACAGAUGAAAGUUCAAACAAAGACGUUUAGCAAACUGUUAAAGCACACAAACCAUCGUCAUAUGAGAAAUCCGACGCUAUGACUCUCCACAAGUUGUCCUUCAGGUCGUUAUCUUUGUAAUGUUUGUGUUUUUUAUCAAAAAGCACUCUGUUCUCCGACAGUCAGCCGGUUGGCCAUGUUGGAUAUACCGGUGAAUCUGACGUCGCAACAACAUGCAAUCUGAUUGGUCAGAGGUGGACACACAGUAUGUGAAACUUUAGAAAAUUUGACCGUGAGACAAAAAAAUAAAUGUCGCAAUAUCGCAGGAUGGGAAAACCUCGCUGAUGUGAACGCUUGUAUUGACAGGAUACGGGUUCGAAAAAAAUAUUGACGUCCGAAAUAAUUGCACGAAAAAAUGCUCCCGUUGUGUAAGGACCUUUUCAGUGUAAAAAUGCCAGGAAAUUAUGGCCAGAGGUUGCAGCAGACUGAGAAGAGGUGAUAAAGGUGAUUAUAGUCGGGUGAUGAAUACUAAAUACCUGGGUGUUGUUCUGUUCGACAAACAUACUGACAAUGUGUCAUAGGAAUUCCUUCGCAUUAAUGCCCGGCACCCCCUCGCACAUUUUCGUCACCUCUGGUGAAUUGCGUGCAGCGAGACGCCUAUUGUUUUGGGUGAGUUGUUCUAUCUAAAAACAUUAUGAAACUUGGACAUAAGCUCAUGACAUAUUUUUACAGUUUAAUAAAAGUUACUCUUAAUUAGAGCGGACGCCUGAAGUGAGUCCUCUUGAACUGCAGUCUUGUACAUGGUCUUUGACAUACCGGCUGAUUUGGAUGUUUUCAGAUAAAGUUUUCUCUAAGUUAAUAGCAGGCAAAUAUGAAGGAGAUGAUUAUCAAACUUGGCUCUGUGAUGCUCAUGAUCAGGUAUCUCCUGUCAGCACUUGGCUGCGCGUGCUCGUCUGUCAGAGCUUUGAUUGGUCUCUACCUGCUUAAACUGAUGUAUCUGUCCUAUAAAACGAAACAGACGGCUAAGGCUUUACCUGGGUGAUUCAGGCUGGCGUUGAGUCAGCAACUUGUCCGCUUUAAUGGCUUUCUGCUGAAGUGAAUGGCUCAAACGAAAGGAUUGGAGCCUGUUUUUUUUUUUUUUUUUUACCUGACUCCCUGUUCUGGCUAAUCAGGUGCACUUAUUUUCAAAUGAGCAUGGGACAUGUGAUAUUCCUCAAGGUUUGGAGAGUUUCAAGGUCCACCUGCAAAACUGAGACAACUAAAAUGUCCAUGGACAUAGACAGUCAAGAAAGCAUUUGUGAUAUACAUACAGCUGUGCACAAACUACAACAAAAUAGAAGCUUUUAUGGUGCUGUUUUUGAAUGCAAUCCUGAGCUCAGACAACAGGGAACAGAAAAUAAAAAUCUGCUUUGAAUACAUGGAUAUCUAAUCGCUUUACGCACAAUCUUAGCAGCUAAACUCAAACCUCACACAUGCCUUUUUAUAUCUGUUUAUCUAGCUUCUCUGUUCUGGAAAAAUCUACAGAUGGGGCACGUUUUCUUGUCUUAUUUCACAGCCAUUCUAACUGGCUGACCAACACUUCAGGGCCUUUUUUUGGCAUGUGGAGCUACUGAACAAGCUGCUGUGUUUGAUUAGAUGUCUGAGAGAAAAUGUUAUGUGUGCAGUCCAUUUUUUUAAUUUUUUUUUUUUUUUUUUUACAAAUUUCUUAGUAAUAAUGGAGCCUACAUGAUUACUUUAUGUUGCUCUAAGAUUAGGGCUGCAUUUUAAAUCAUAAUUUAAAUCAUAAUCAGAUGAUUUAAUUAUGAUGAAAAAAAAUCAAAAUCGUCAAAUCAAUUUUCCUCUCUAUCACCUCGCACCUCCAGGGCUCACCAGGGGUCCUGCGGGAGCGCUCCCCAGUUCCCACACACACCAGUGUGAACAAACAUGGCGUUUGCAAAAGAAAACGCUUCUCGUACCGUUAGCGGUGACAGGCUGUGCAGACUCCGCUCACGUUUUCAUGCUUUCCGCAUAAUCCCUCAGGAAGUGCUCCUUUAAAUGAUUAAACAGAUCUGUUGUGUUGCCAGUUUUUGAGGACACCGACUGCUGACAUACCUUACACAUCAGCUUAAUUACUCGACGUCACUUUGGAGAUACCCGAACCACCGCAACACAACCGACGUUGAACAACAUCUCACUAAUAACAUCGUUGAAGGAUGACUAAAAGUCUUGACUGCCAUAUAUUUUGCUGCUCUCCGCUCCGCGUUUAGCCUCACGUUACGUCAUUCUGUUGACUUCACCAGCAGAUUACAGAAGUGAGCAGGAACAGCUUGACUCUGAUUGGACGCACAUUUCCGCUAUGUUUGAUCGAGUAAAUAUGCUCACAGCUGAUCACCAUAAUUAAACUGAAAUUUAUCACGAUUUAUCAUCAAUCACGAUCAUAUAAUCGCCCGGUCCUACAUUAUACACAUGCUCUGUACUCUUUUUCUGUCCUUUGUGCUGGUGUCUGAACACCGUUACAGCGCCACUUACUGGCUUGGCAUGUGCAUAACAUCGCUUUCAGUGGUUUCGUUUUGAGAAAUGAUAGAAAAAGUUUUAUUUUUAAAGGGAAGUUUGGUGAAGUUGUCACUGAAUAAAAAAUCGAAAUUGAAAAUCGAGUUUUCAGAGAAAAAAAUCAGGAUUUUAAAUUGUCACACAAUUUAGAAGUCUAAUCAGCUGAUUUUUGAAUCCAUAGGCAAGAAAAUCCUCUGAAUUACAGCUGACUGUCUCAGAGGAAGCUAGACUUCAUGCUUCACAAAAUUCUCAGGAGAUCGAUUGUAAAAAGUUAAAAGUAACACAGCCCAAAGCUCGGGCAGAUGAAGUGGUAUUUGAGUUUUUGAUUGCACUGCUGUUUUCACUUUCCUUCAGAGGCUCUAAUGUAGCUCACACUGUGAUGUACUAAGACAUCGUCCUCCCCCAGUUAGCAAGCUUCUCUUCAGCAAAAGGAAACAGAAUUAGGCUAACAGCUGAGCACCUCUCUCCAGCGCCACUCAAACCCACUCUACCAGCAGCUUUUAAAUGAACUUUAUGAAAAGAUAAACCUCUCUGCAUGUCUACCAAAGCUAGCUUACCCCACCUGCAGGUAGUCCCUCACCUAACCGGAAAGAACACAAAGAUCUGGGAUUCAUGCAUUCACUUAAAAGGUGUUUUUGAAGAGUGAGCCCCUUCCUGAGAAUUGAAAAGUCAAGUACAUCAGCGGUAAUCUUCUUUCAGGCACUAUUUUUACCAGAGCGUCGUCUUGUUCACCAUCUUGUUCUCCUUCCUCUUUGUAGAAACUCUCUCAUCCUUCCCCACAGCGCAACUCGCUCUUCAAACCCUUCAUCCCUCCCUUUUCCUCCCACCUUCAUCUCCUCUGUCUCCCCCCAAGCCAAGCUUUUACUUCUCUGUCACCCCUCUGCUCCGUCUGCAUCAAUACCGAGCCCUUUAUGUGACUGGUUCAAUAACACUGUGUGCUUUUUGGGCCGAGGCCCCUCCAGGGUCCCUCCUUGGCAAAUAAGAUAUCGAGGGGACAAAUUAAAACGCUGCCGUGAUUGUCUACACACUCUGUAGUAGUGGAGGGGUGACAACAGAGACAAGGAAGGAGGAAAGGACCCACGUGAAGAGGUCUCACCUUUUAAAAAGUCUUGGAUUAAUACUGCAAUGAAUGUCAUCAAUUGUACAUGUCAGUACAUUCAUGUUGGUGAAGUUUCCUUUAUUUUUGCACAUUCAUGCUUCGUUUCAUGUCAUGCAUUCCCUGCCCCCGUCUUGUCACACCUGCCGCCUGAUUGUGUCUCCUCACCUAUUUCCCACCUUUUUACCUUGUGUGUCUCAUCGUCUCGUCGGCAGUUCGUUACACUUCUUGUCUCAUUCUAGUAUUUAUUCAUAGUUAUUUAUACCCCAGUAUUACCUUUGCCUGUGUUUUUGGACCUUGCCUUUUUUGCCUCAAGUUUUUAAUACCUCUGCCUGACCUGAUUGUCUUUUGUGUACCGACCUUUGCCUGAACUUCAUUAAACCCUGUUUGUUUGGCUAAAUGACUUGGUGUCGUGCCAUUGUGUCCCUCAGUCUGUGCUUUGGUUGAUGGCAGUUCAUCAAACAAGAACACAAAGGACCCACUUGGCCUUAUUACAGUCAAGUUGGUGUAUUUGGCUAUCCUACAUGUUGAGGAAUCAGGAUAAUUCUACUUUUGAAACAUUUGGAGAGACCCAAAGCUUCUUGUAGGAGAUCCCAGGCUGCAGGAACAGAGGACCUCAGUCCCGUUUAUACGAACCCAGGUAAUUUUUAAAAACUGAGAUAUUAACCAUCGUUUGCACCUUUCAUUUAGACCGAAACGGUGAAUUUGUCCCUGAAAACGAUGCUUUUUAAAAACUCCGGCUGGAGUGGAAAUUUUGGAAAACUUAAGGUCCUUACACAAUGGGACUGUUUUUUUCAUGCGAUUUUUUACAGACGUCAAUAUUAUUUUUGAACCUGUAUCCUGUCAAUACAAGCGUUCACAUCAGCAACGUUUUCCCAUCCUGCGAUAUUACAGCACUUAUUUUUUAAUAUCACGGACGAUUUUUUCUAAAGUUUCGCAUACUAUGUGUGUCCACUUCUGACCAAUCAGAUUGUGUGUUGUUGCGACGUCUGAUUCACCGGUAUAUCCAACAUGGCCGACCAGCUGAUUGUUUACGUGUCGGAGAACAGAGUGCUUUUUGAUAAAAAUCACAAACAUUACAAAGAUAACGACCUGAAGGACAACUUAUGGAGAGUCAUAGCGUCGGAUUUCUCAUAUGACGAUAGUUUGUGUGCUUUAACAGUUUGCUAAAUGUCUUUGUUUCAACUUUCAUCUGUGCUAAGUAACUUUAGCUUGUAAGCUAACCUGUUCAGAUACUGUCACAGCACCAUUAGGUCUCAGUUGUUACAUUAUGUUUAUGGAUUAUAGUUUAAUGUGUUUAUCUGGUACUGGCCCCGACUCAGUACAUGCUAUCAUGACAAACAGCCAACUCAACACUAGAGUCUAAUCAGAACUGAAAAACAGUCAGUCUGAUGUUGUGUCAGUCUUCUCACUUUCACCCAGGACGUGUCUUUUUUCCCCCCGUUUGCAAAAUCGCAUCGGGCUUGAUAUGUAUAGUCAAGCGCAUAAAAAAAAACUAAGAAAAACUGAGGUAAAUAGAGAUUUCGGUAGCCGACGGCAGAUUGUGUACCGAAAACUGAGUUAAAUGCGACGUUGUUUACAGUCUAUGUUUACAAUCUAUGGUGAUCAUGGAUGCAUGCAGAAUAGCAGUCGCAUUUUUGCUAAGGAAAUCCCUUUAUAUUGUCUUUUCCAAAAGUAGGAAGUGACGUUGUUGUUGUUGUUGUUGCUGCUAUGCAGGAUUCUGAUUGGCUAACGUGGGCUUGAGCUUCAUAAAUAUGGGUUAGAGUAAACAAGAACUUUUCUGAAAAUGUAGUGGUGUGCACACAGUUAUUGUUUUUUUUAUAAACGGAGAGGGUGAAAUGUCCGUGCGGGGCACAUGUAAAUGUAGUCCUAGACUCCUUAACCCAGUAUCAAGAUGCUCUCUGGGGACAGAAAGUAAAAUAAAAUCUUAAAAUCAAGCAGGUGCAGCUUUGUUUUUGAGUUUGUGAACACUGUCAAAAGAAUCUUGUAAGAGAGAACCUGAUUCAAUGUUGGAGCUGAGAAGUAAGUAACUGCAUCAUCUGCAUAUAAAGUUAUACAUGCAUUAAGAACAUUAUGGCAAAUGUUGUUAAUGUUAGUUUCUUUGAACAGAAACAAUAAAUCAGUAGCAUGUCAGUCAGUUGUGUUUAUUCCAGCUCUAUUGCUGAAAACUUGUCCAAACGUGGUGCUUGCAUGAGUGUAUCAGUGUAUGUGUAUCAGCUAUGGAAAGUUUGUGGAGUUACCUUAUGCAGGUGUAUAAAAAAAUAAAAAUAAAAAACCUGCUGUACUUUGGCUCAUUGUGUCUCCAUAUUUCCCCUCUAAUGGUGCUCAAGCUGUGCAGACUGAGUGCAGAUGUUAAUCACAAGCUGUGGCAGAGCGGCGUGUGUCCCACAACACAAAGGUCACCUUUAAACUCACACGGGGGAACAAACUCAGCCUGCGUGAGCCCCAAAAAUCAUUAGUUUGGUUUGUUUAGGAGAUUCAGCUGUGCAUGUUAAUUUCUCUGAAACAACCAUGACGCUUAUUUGUUACCGGGAUGAAGUGAGUGGAUUUAUGUCCCACUGUUUAAAGGACGGAUUAACAGUAAAGGAUAAUGUUUAGAUUAAAAGGUGUCAUAAUGAGAGAUUUAUUAACCUGUUACACUUUGGUGUUUUUCUGGAGCUUUUAGUAGGACUUUUAUUGCAGGGGGAUAUGCAAACACAGCAAAUAACACCAGACUUCUAAAAGCCUGCCAAAAUAUAAAAUGUCAAACUGAAUUUGUGGGAAAUGUGAAUGAAAAACUCUGGACCAUGUAGAAAUAUACAAGUAAAUACAGUACGAGUGAAUAAAGGGAGGAAAUAGAGGUUUCCUCUUUUUCUACUUAGCACAGUAAAACAGAAACAAUUAGAUUUAGGGAGUAAUGGCUUUAAAUCUGCAUUAAUGUGUUUAUUCAACUUAUAUUUGAUUCACUGUUAACAAGUAGGAUUUUAGCUCACUUCCUUUAGGAAUCACAGAUUUACAUUCAAGGAUUUUAAGUCCCUGUAUUUGAUUUAAUUUUUUCCAGCAAAUAUCAGUCUAGUCCAACUGAACCCUAACCCUACCAAUGAAGACAUUAAUGCAUCUUAAAACCACCAACUUGUACGUGCUCAUUUGAACAUAAAUGCACACCUCUUGGUUUAAUACUUUAUCUAGAUUAAAUCAAUGCAUUUAUACAAAAACUAUCAAGAUAAUGUAAUAAUUAUAGUUUUAUUUGAAUUUCAGGUUGCUCUUUGGUGUCCAGGUUGCUGCAGGAGUUGCCAUUUUUAAUUUCAGUGCAUUUCUUGGAUGUGUAGAGAAAAGCUCUUGAAUCUUGAAAUUUGACCGCGCAUGUGAAAAAGACAUUGAUGACCUUCAGGUUGUUUGAUUUUUAGACUCAUAUUUUAAAAGCAAACAAAAUAAUCAUAAUAAUAAUAAUAAUUAAACAUCCUAUUCUAAAAGACUGAGAAUUUUUGCUUAUUUUUUUCUGAAAAUUGUAGAUAAAUAUAGAGAUUGCAAAAAAAUGCACUCUUAGCUGUGCAGCUAGGUUCUUAUUCGCACAUCUUUUUUAAAGUUUCAACCAAAAAAUCCAACUAAACUUCAGAUUUCUGCAAAGUUGACACUUCUAGCUGAGAGAAACUAAUGCUUGUGUUGUUACUAGACAGCUUUGACAUCACUUCUUGUCUUUUGGUUUAUUGCUAAAACGUUUAACAUUGAUUAUUUCAGCUUCAUUAUCCCAGCAGGAGUGGAAAUGUGGAGAGUGAAAAUCCUGUCCGUUGUUAUCUCGCAGCCGGCUGAAUUUCCUGUCCUCCUGUGAGACUCUGGCGGUCUGAGCUGCUGUUCUGAGGACGACACAUUUGGCAUUUAGCUCUUCUCCAGAGACAUGUUUAUCGAUACGCCGGUCGGUCCCAAAAUGAUUGUCCCAUCCUGGUAAAUUAUUGAUGUCUCGGCAGGAUCGGCCUCAGAGAUGCGUUAAACUGAUGAUGACUCAAUUUGGUGGCCUGGCUCGGGUCGAGGCCCACAGCUCGAUACGUCAAUACCUCAGAGCAGCCUGCACGCCACGUGCACAGAAAACAAACAAGCAUGGAGACACACCAACACACACACACUGCCCUCAGAUUUGUGUCUUUCUCUUCUUUUUCAGACACAUUAACAGCCUCUUGAAAAGUCCUCAGAAAACCUUUUAUAUAAUCGUGUUUUAAUGCUUUAUGAUCCUCUGAUACUUCAGUGCAUUAUCAUGCUUUUACAAAAACAAGUAGCUCCAUUUAAACUAAUUGUUUUGCAGGGGGAAAAAAAAAAAAAAAACGCAAGGACAUCUGGGAUUUAAGGGCAAUUAGGAUGCGCUGAAAGGAGUGGAGGUAUAAGGAGUUACAUAAGCGUCAUUAUUUCACAGAAGAGGACUGAAAUAAUCUGCAGCUGAAAUGCUUUUGUUGCAAAAAUAAAAACACAGGCUUACAAUAAGAGCUCCUACAUUAAGUAUAAUGAUUAGUGCAGGAAAACACAGUACUGAGGAUUUAUUUAUUGAAUGAGUAGCUGAUCAUUAGUGAUGUUUUGUUUGAGAGGAGGACGCACAAUGCAGCAUUUCUGAGCUUUUAUUCCGUAACAUUGGCAAACUGACGCCUCCUCCGUGCAAAUAUGAGGCGUGUCUGAAGAAUCAAGCGACUCCUGUGUAGUACUGUGCAGGCUGCAGAGGUUAAAAAUGGAAAUUAGGAUGAAGAGGAAGAGAAGAGGGAGAGUUUAGUUUUGAUCAGAGAGGAGGAUGCAGCUCUUCAGACAGCAAGUCAGCUGGGAAUUGUUCAGAGUGAAGUUAUUUUCGGCCUCUGUGAUAUCAGAGGGAAAACUCCUGACUGGUGAAGUGUUGUUUUUUUUUUUUUUUUUUUAAUGUUUGACUCUUGAUUUAUUGAAUCUGUUCUUAUGUUGUCUUUCAUCAGCUUUAAGGGUCAUGCUGACACGUGCUAUAAUCAUCACCUGAUGGAGUUUUCUCUUGACUAAUGUGUUUCAGUGCUCAUUUUUGCAGCCGUUUUAAGGUGCUUUCACACCGGGACCGUGUUUGUCGUGUGAUUAUUUCGGACGUCUAUACUUUUUUUCAAACCCGUAUCCUGUCAAUACAAGCGUUCACAUUAGCGAUGUUUUCCCAUCCUGUGAUAUUUACUGGCCACUGGUUUAAAUGAAGAAUUAGAAAUGGCUUGCUUUUUAUGACUGUCUGUUUGCACUGGCUAAACCCAUUCCCUGUUCAUAUGUUUUCAUUGAUGUAAAUAAUAACCCGUAGGUCCAUGGCUUUAGUAUGUAAAUAGAAUAGUAUAGAAUAUUCUUUAUUUCAGAUUCAGGGUCCAUAGUGAGCCACUUGGAUUUGUUUUAGAUUGCUAUGAUGUCAUGUAUCACAAUGCAUCCUGGGCCACACCCUGGCUCAAUUACCUGCUCUGUGUAAGAAGCUCCAGGUGUGUCUAAUUAAGGGCUCCAGGUGUUUCCAAUUAAGGACUCCAGGUGUGUCUAAUUAAUCUCUCCAGUCUGACUGAGAAGAACUCAAAGACACAGUCAGACUGACCUCUCACUAUUGCACUUAUGAUAGUCGACUGAAACGCUUUCUGCUUAUUUGUUUGAUCCUAGCAAUAAAAUGAAUCCAACUUUUUAAGACAUUUAUCUUUUCCAUCUUUCUAUGUGCGUGAGUCCUCCACUGCCUUUUUGAAAUAAAUCUAGCUAACUGCUAUGCAUCCAAAUGACUUGCAAAUUGUGUCUUAAGUACUUUUAUAAAUACUUUGUUUUAUUCUUUGUGGGAUGAUGGUGUGAUGCUGAUGACUGUAAACUAAUCAACCCUCUUUGAAAGAUGAAAAUAUCAUUUCUUUGCACAAAAGAAAGACUGUGGAGAAAUAUUCUGAUUUUUUUUUUCUUCCCGGGGUGCCACAAUAUAAGUAAUUUCACGUCUAAAUCUAAUCUUCUUGAAGUUUUCUUUUGAAAUUUUGAUUUAAACUUCCCAUAAACAAGAGAUCAGUUUUCAACACUAACAGGUGUCCUGUCUACACUCUUCACUCAUUCGGGUUUUGACAGCUGGGCAGUCAGAGGGCGUCGAGUGAGAAAACCAAAGUGAGAAAGUUGGAGAGACAAAAGUAGUAUUCAAAAAGUGAAAGCGAGGCUUUGAUUCAGAGCCAUCUGUCCCACCAAACGGGCUGACUGAGUCUGAGGGAAGAAGCCGAAAGAAAUUAAACUCACGGUUUCAACAUAGCAACAAUGUCUCAAUGUUCGGAGAUUGGCCAGAUACCAACACUUGAUAAUAUGACAAUCUUCACACACAACUAGACGUCAAUCAUUUGAGUUUGAUCCUAACUUCAAUCGAAUCACCAGUUUGGCCCUUCUUCACAAAGGGGGUUUGCUCACUUCACAGAUAAACGGUGUCAUCUACUGUUGUAAACAAAUAUUAGCAUUCAUAAGAUUAGACCCUCAAAUCAGGAAAACUUUACUUUUUUAGAGGCAUUCGAGGGAAAACAAAACAUCUAGAUCCAGAUAUCUUCAAUCCAGUCUUAAGAUUUUCCAGGAGAAACUCAAGAAGCUUCCAGAUGCUUGUUCCCUGUCAUGUAACGCUCAUUAUUUCCAUCAGAGCGCGGGUUUGACGUGUUGUGACAGAGUGCGCUCGGUCGGUCCUGCAGAGCUCUGACUGUUGUUCUGACAUCUGACAAACCAUGUGUCAUCUAAACCGAAUGGGGGGCUGAUUGGAGGGCUAAGCGGACAUCAACCCUCUGAUGUAAUGAUGGAGUGUUAGUCUUGGCUGUAUGGACUCAUCUUCAUCUAGACUGAAAUAUGAAUUAAUCAGUCCAUGUCCACGUGUAUGCAGGUAAGGGCAGUCCUUAUCUCUGUGUCUCCACAAGUAAUCAGGCUAUUGUUGUCACCCGUCUCAAAUAUGAUAAAUAUUCUUAUACCAUCUAAUUAAGGGUCCUUCAUCAGCAGCUGUCUAAUGUUUUAAUCCAGCUAUCCAUUCUGCUGUCACAGUCCCCAGACAGCAGCAGAUGCUGAGCUGCUCAUCCCAGUGAUAGCUGCUCAAUAUCAUCAACUGGUGCCAUCGCCAGAUUUAGCAGCAGUUAGAAACUCUGGAACAGCUGAUCGAAAUCUAUUAUUUAUUCCUGCACCAUGGGGUAAUGACAGAGGACAUGCUUUCUAUGCAAACAUUAGACCUAACAGUACCUACCACUCAUAAACAAACCAGUAUCCCACUAUUACUGUGAACAAGUAUGCCAAUGUUUUCCCAAAUCUCUCCUUUAGACGAACCAGGUCCUCUACUGUUUGUUAUUUUGUGUAUUUCCAGUGCUGUUGUAUGAUUCAUGUGUGGACUGCUGUUGCAGAACAAACUGCUGCUUUGGGACAAUAAAGAUUUUCCACAUCCGGAAAUGACUCAGUGAUGUUGUUUUCUUGUAUUUCUUGCACUGAAAGGUUUUUAACAUUUGUUUUUUUUAAGCAUUUCCCUAAAAGAAAAUACUUUUGACAUCACACUGUUUAAAUUUUGAACUCAGCUUUUAAAAUUUUGAAGAAACAGUUUAUUUUCUGGUACCAGAAAAACUUCCAUAUUGGCUCUCUCCAAUAAAAGAACACAAAGCGCUUUUUUCGGGUGAUUAUGUCGGAUGUCAAUAUAUAUAUAUUUUUAAACCCGUAUCCUGUCAAUACAAGCGUUCACAUCAGUGACGUUUUCCUGACCUGUGAUAUUGCGACAUUCAUUUUUCGUAUCACGGUCGAAUUUUCUAAAGUUUCGCAUACUGUGUAUCUACUUCGGACCAAUAAGAUUUUGUGUUGUUGCGACGUCUGAAUCACCGGUAUAUCCAACAUGGCUGGCUGAUUGUUUACGUGUCGGAGAACAGAGUGCUUUUUGAUAAAAAACACAAAUAUUACAAAGAUAACGACCUGAAGGACAACUUGUGGAGAGUCAUAGCGUCGGAUUUCUCAUAUGACGAUGGUUUGUGUGCUUUAACAGUUUGAUAAACGUCUUUGUUUUAACUUUCAUCUGUGCUAAGUAACUUUAGCUCAUAAGCUAACCUGUUCAGAUACAACAUACCAUAUGUAUUUUUACUGUCUCAAACUCAAUCGUGUUGCUGUCACAGCACCAUUAGUUCUCUGUUGUUACCUUACGUUUAUGGAUUAUAGUUUAAUGUGCUUAUCUGGUACUGGCCCCGACUCAGUACAUGCUAUCAUGACAGACAGCCAUCUCAAC